AGGAAUCUCUUCAAUAUCAAUCUGACAUGGCAGCUAAGGAACAUAAAGAAGCACUUAUCACAUUAAGAAAACAGUUUCAGGAAAGAAUCAGUGGCAUUGAAGGAGACAAGGGAAAAUACCAGUUAUCUGCUGGAUUGAAAGAACAAGAGAUUAGUGGACUGAAAGAGGAAUUAAAAAAAUUACAG